rnacentral:rRNA from 1 species
GAAAUAAGAUUUUAAAUGAGUGCUAAGAGAAUGGUUAAACAAUUAAAAGCUUUCUUUAAUUAAAAAAUUAAAUUUAAUUUUUUAGUGCAAAAGCAAAAAUAAAAUUUAGGGACAAGAAGACCCUAUGAAUUUUUAUUGUUAAUAAUUAAAAUUUAAGUUAUUAAUAAUUUAAUUGGGGCGAUAAAAAAAGAAUAAGUAUCUUUUUAGUUAUAAAAUAAGUUCCGUUUUUAGCGAUUAAAUGAAAUAAAUACUCUAGGGAUAACAGCGUAAUAAUUUUGGAUAGUUCAUAUAGAUAAAAUAGUUUGCGACCUCGAUGUUGGAUUAGGAUUCUU